CCUACGGGAGGCUGCAGUGGGGAAUAUUGGACAAUGGGGGGAACCCUGAUCCAGCCAUGCCGCGUGUGUGAAGAAGGCCCUCGGGUUGUAAAGCACUUUCAGUGAGGAAGAACGCCUGGUGGUUAAUACCCAUCAGGAAAGACAUCACUCACAGAAGAAGCACCGGCUAACUCCGUGCCAGCAGCCGCGGUAAUACGGAGGGUGCGAGCGUUAAUCGGAAUUACUGGGCGUAAAGCGCGCGUAGGUGGCUUGAUAAGCCGGUUGUGAAAGCCCCGGGCUCAACCUGGGAACGGCAUCCAGAACUGUCAAGCUAGAGUGCAGGAGAGGAAGGUAGAAUUCCCGGUGUAGCGGUGAAAUGCGUAGAGAUCGGGAGGAAUACCAGUGGCGAAGGCGGCCUUCUGGACUGACACUGACACUGAGGUGCGAAAGCGUGGGUAGCAAACAGGAUUAGAUACCCCUGUAGUC
rnacentral:rRNA from 1 species